rnacentral:sRNA from 1 species
CACCAUCACCAUCAUCCGGAAUAGUCUUUCAGGAGGGUGACUGCUGGAAGACACAUGAGGUGACCUUCCAGACAGCGGCCCAGCCAAAGUUGCAAACCCUCGGAAGAUCACCACUUCCGAGGGUUUUUU